UUGGCCAGUGUAAGCUAGCUGUCCUGGUUCUGUCCCUUCUGAGCUCCUCAUGCUCCCCAGGUCCCCAUGCUGGCAGAACAGUACUAGAAGCUGAAAAACUGAAAUAUCCUUGUCUCUCUACAGCACUGCUCAGCAACAACUAAAAUAUCAAUGUGUUAGCAAUGUUGUUUUUCUCCUAAAGCCAAAACAUAGCAUCAAACCAUAUGCUAUGAAGACCAACUCUGUCCCAGCUGAAACCAGGACAAGAGCCAAGGAGCAAGUUUCAGCCAAAGAUGAUGGGGUCACAAAU
rnacentral:lncRNA from 1 species